rnacentral:rRNA from 1 species
UGAGGAAUAUUGGGCAAUGCCCGCAAGGGUGACCCAGCAACGCCGCGUGGAGGAUGAAUGUCGUAAGAUUGUAAACUCCUGUUAGAGGGGAAGAAUAGUACCGGUUGGACCGGUAUAUGACUGUACCCUCAGAGAAAGCCCCGGCUAACUACGUGCCAGCAGCCGCGGUAAUACGUAGGGGGCAAGCGUUGUCCGGAUUUACUCGCGCAGGCGGGAUAAAAAGUCAGUGGUGAAAUCCUACAGCUUAACUGUAGAACUGCCUUUGAUACUUUUAUUCUUGAGUUCGGGAGAGAGAGACGGAAUUCCAGGUGUAGUGGUGAAAUACGUAGAUAUCUGGAAGAACACCAGUUGCGAAGGCGGUCUCUUGGUCCGACACUGACGCUGAGGCGCGAAAGCGUGGGGAGCAAACA